rnacentral:rRNA from 1 species
AUCAACGCUGGCGGCGUGCCUCAGACAUGCAAGUCGAACGCGAAAGUCCCCUUCGGGGGGCGAGUAGAGUGGCGCACGGGUGAGUAACACGUAGGUAAUCUACCUUCGGGUGGGGAAUAACCCAGGGAAACUUGGGCUAACACCGCAUAAUGCAGCGGCACCACAUGGUGACAGUUGUUAAAGCGGGGGAUUUUAGGACCUCGCGCCUGAAGAGGAGCCUGCGGCAGAUUAGCUAGUUGGUAAGGUAACGGCUUACCAAGGCAACGAUCUGUAACCGGCCUGAGAGGGCGGUCGGUCACACUGACACUGACAUACGGGUCAGACUCCUACGGGAGGCAGCAGUCGGGAAUUUUGGGCAAUGGGCGAAAGCCUGACCCAGCAACGCCGCGUGAAGGAUGAAAUCCCUCGGGAUGUAAACUUCGCAAGAUUGGGAAGAAUUAGUAGGGGUUAAUACCCCCUAUGAUGACGGUACCUUUUGUAAGCUCCGGCUAACUCCGUGCCAGCAGCCGCGGUAAUACGGGGGGAGCAAGCGUUGUUCGGAUUUACUGGGCGUAAAGGGCGCGUAGGCGGUCAGCACAAGUCAGUUGUGAAAUCUCCGGGCUUAACUCGGAACGGUCAACUGAUACUGUGCGACUAGAGUGCAGAAGGGGCAACUGGAAUUCUCGGUGUAGCGGUGAAAUGCGUAGAUAUCGAGAGGAACACCUGCGGCGAAGGCGGGUUGCUGGGCUGACACUGACGCUGAGGCGCGAAAGCCAGGGGAGCGAACGGGAUUAGAUACCCCGGUAGUCCCUGGCCUUAAACGAUGGAUGCUUGGUGUCUGGAGUUUAUAUAGUCUCCGGGUGCCGCAGCUAACGCGUUAAGCAUCCCGCCCUGGGGAGUACCGGUCGCAAGACUGAAACUCAAAGGAAUUGACGGGGACCCGCCACAAGCGGUGGAGCAUGUGGUUCAAUUUCGACCGCAACGCGAACAACCUUUACCUGGGCUAGAAUGCCUUCCUGACCACCUCCAGAGAUGGAGCCUUCUUAAGGACAACCCUAAGCCGAAUGCCAUGGGUCCUUAGUCAAUUGGCCUGGUCGAUCCACGCCUCUUCGGUUGUCUCGAU